rnacentral:lncRNA from 1 species
GAUCUGGGCUCUAAGUAAUCAGUGCAUUAUAGUGAUUCUGCAUUCCAAGUACUUAACCUAAUAAGGAAAAGUCACUGCAGUCAAAUGCUCUACCACUGAGCUAUACCCCCUAAAGUCACUGGGAGAAGGCCAGAAAGAGGUCAGAAAGAUGUCAUUUCAUGUUUGAUCUACUUCUGAGAUACUUUGUUCUUCAAAUUAUUGUGGCCCAAAUGGACAGACUGGAAGGACUCAGAGAACAACUGCAAGGACUCAGGGAUAGAAGAGCUAAUGCUGUCAAGACCAUAGCCACUCAGAAUUUGAUCACUCAUUUCUGGUUCAUGAUACUCUUAACAUUGCUCCAUGAAAUGACCUCUUACUUCUUUGUUGGUUGGUUUCCUUUAAUAAUGUCAUCAACAAGUGGGAUUACAUUAAAAGCUUCUAUACAGCAAAAGAGAGAAUCAACAAAACAAAAUGGAAAGGUAAUCAAUCUGUGGAAUGGGAGAAAAUAUUUGCAAGCCACACAUCUGAUAACAGGUUACUAUCCAAAAUAUAUAAGGAACUCAUACAACUAA